rnacentral:misc_RNA from 1 species
UCAAUCAAAGAAGCCAAUAAAAGGUAAUCUAAACAGAUAUGCUUCUUACAGUUGCAGAAAAUUUCUUAAUAUUGAUUUUACGUUUCUUAAUAUUGAUUUUACGGGCAGUUCUAGCAGGAAUAUUCUUCAUGCUAUGGCUUUUCUUUCCUUGUUUUUUGGACUUGUACGAAAACCUUCAGAGACUAAAGAGAACUGGUAGUCUUCAUAUGAAGAAAUGCAACAGAGAGAAAAAAGAACUUGAGCUAUAUUAAUCUCAACAACUUAACUGAUUACAAUGAUCUCUAUACAAAUAUAUAACUACAGUUAUCUUGUAAACUAAGCUAGUCUGACUACUGUACACAAGAUGAAAGCAGCUGCAAUAAGCUAACUAACCUUGGUGCCAAUCUUGACUUUUACUUUCUUCUGCUUCUCAUUAGUCAAAUGAUCUAAAUACCCCACUAACAUUCCCAGCUUGUAUAAGAGCUCAUGGAAAGGAACAACACCAAAAGGUUUAGUGCAAAUAUCUGAAAGCUACGCAGAAGAAGAUAGAGGAAGCAAUUUGAUGAGACCAUUUUGAACUUUCUCCCUGAUUAAAUGACAGUCAAUUUCUACAUGUUUAGUACACUCAUGGAAAGUAGGAAUAGCAGCAAUUUGUAAGGCAGAUUUGUUGUUGCAGAAUAAUAAAACUGGUGUAGAGUGUGGGAAUUGUAGAUCUUGAAGCAGAUAAACUAUCCAUUUAAUCUCACACGUUGUAGUAGCUAGAGCCCUGUACUCUGCCUCUGAAGAAGAAUGAGAAACAGUAGUCUGCUUUUUGGCUUUCCAGCUAAUUAAGGAGGAACCAAGAAAAAUUAAGAACCCUAUAACAGAUUUCCAGGUAUCCACACAACCUGCCCAAUCUGAGUCACUAAAAGCUUUUAACUGAAGUUCUGAAUCAGCAGGAAAGAACAAACCAGCACCAGGAGAGGCUUUAACAUAUCUAAGAAUUCGAUGGGCUUGAAAAGAGUUGGUUUAUCUAGAAAUUGACUUGAACUGUUGAACAGAAAAGGAGAGAUCUGGUCUUGUAGAUGUAAUCUACAAGAGUCGAACAAUAAGCCUCAUGUAUUGUAAAUUAUUAGGUAAUAGUUCACCAUAGUCCUUGCUAAUUUUGAAUUUAGAGUCCAUUGGAGUCUUAGCAGGUUUGGAAUCCAAGAAUCCAGCGUCAGAAAGUAUAUCAAGAGCAUAUUUUCUUUGACUUAAAGAUAUGCCUUGUUUAUGUCUUGCCACCUCCAAUCCAAGAAAAAACUUGAGCUCUCCUAAAUCUUUAAUUCUGAAUUGAGCAUCGAGAAAAGCUUUAACACUGUUAAUCUCAGUCAUGUUUGUGCCAGCAAGUAUGAUAUCAUCUACAUACACCAAUAAGAUGGUGACAGAACUAGCAGAUGAUUUAACAAAAAGAGACUAGUCAGAAUGUGAUUGAACAUAUCCCAAGGAGACAAGAGCAUUAGAGAGCUUCGAGAACCACUGUCCACUGGCUUGUUUCAAGCAUAAAGGGACUUCUGCAAGUGGAAAACCUGAUUUUGUUUAGAAGUGGAAAAGCCUGGAGUGAAGGAACACAUAUAGACUUCUUCAUGCAGAUCUCCAUGAAGGAACGCAUUAUUCACAUCAAGUUGGUGUGAAUACUAAGUAUUUGCUGCAGCUAGGGCCAAGAGUGAUAAUUGGAGCCAGUGGGUACAGGAGAAACAAAAAAAAAGAGCUGGAUUUCCGUUGGGAUGAAGAAAGCAGUGACUAGAAGGAUCUUGCAAAGGAUUUACUGAAGCAGUUGAACUAGUCAUAACUGAAGGAUUAGCCAUGGCAGAUCAAGAACUUAGGGUUUCUUUGAAAAGAAAAGAACACAAAAUUGCUCUGUACCAUAUAAAGAAAUGCAACAGAGAGGAAAAAAACUUGAGCUU